rnacentral:rRNA from 1 species
UCGAUCUGCUUGCUGGUAGCGUCGGUAAUAGGUGGGAUCCGAGCGUUUGUCGGAUUUGCUGGGUGGAAAGGGGGGGCAGGCGGACUGGUGGGUCUGGGGUGAAAUCUAGCCGCUGAACGGCGAAACUGCCUUAGAUACUAUCAGUGUUGGAUAAGCGAGAGGUUCAGUGAAUUCCGAGUGUAGCAGUGAAAUGUGUAGAUAUUCGGAAGAACACCAGUGGCGAAGGCAGCGAACUGGCGCUUUAUCGACGCUCAUGCACGAAAGCAUGGGGAUCAAACAGGAUUAGAUACCCCAGUAGUC